UAGGGAAUCUUCCGCAAUGGGCGAAAGCCUGACGGAGCAACGCCGCGUGAGUGAUGAAGGUCUUCGGAUCGUAAAACUCUGUUAUUAGGGAAGAACAAAUGUGUAAGUAACUAUGCACGUCUUGACGGUACCUAAUCAGAAAGCCACGGCUAACUACGUGCCAGCAGCCGCGGUAAUACGUAGGUGGCAAGCGUUAUCCGGAAUUAUGGGGCGUAAAGCGCGCGUAGGCGGUUUUUUAAGUCUGAUGUGAAAGCCCACGGCUCAACCGUGGAGGGUCAUUGGAAACUGGAAAACUUGAGUGCAGAAGAGGAAAGUGGAAUUCCAUGUGUAGCGGUGAAAUGCGCAGAGAUAUGGAGGAACACCAGUGGCGAAGGCGACUUUCUGGUCUGUAACUGACGCUGAUGUGCGAAAGCGUGGGGCUCAAACAGG
rnacentral:rRNA from 1 species